GACGAACGCUGGCGGCGUGCUUAACACAUGCAAGUCGAACGCUGAAGCUUGGUGCUUGCACUGGGUGGAUGAGUGGCGAACGGGUGAGUAAUACGUGAGUAACCUGCCCUUGACUCUGGGAUAAGCCUGGGAAACUGGGUCUAAUACUGGAUACGACAUGUCACCGCAUGGUGGUGUGUGGAAAGGGUUUUACUGGUUUUGGAUGGGCUCACGGCCUAUCAGCUUGUUGGUGGGGUAAUGGCUCACCAAGGCGACGACGGGUAGCCGGCCUGAGAGGGUGACCGGCCACACUGGGACUGAGACACGGCCCAGACUCCUACGGGAGGCAGCAGUGGGGAAUAUUGCACAAUGGGCGGAAGCCUGAUGCAGCGACGCCGCGUGAGGGAUGACGGCCUUCGGGUUGUAAACCUCUUUCAGCACGGAAGAAACGAAAGUGACGGUACGUGCAGAAGAAGCGCCGGCUAACUACGUG
rnacentral:rRNA from 1 species